rnacentral:rRNA from 1 species
CCCUUAGAUGUUCUGGGCCGCACGCGCGCUACACUGAUGAAUUCAACGAGCACUAACCUGUGCCGAAAGGUUCGGGUAAUCUUGUGAAAUUUCAUCGUGAUGGGGAUUGAUUAUUGCAAUUUUUAAUCAUAAACGAGGAAUGCCUAGUAAGCGUGAGUCAUCAGCUCACGUUGAUUACGUCCCUGCCCUUUGUACACACCGCCCGUCGCUUCUACCGAUGAAUGAUCCGGUGAACACUCUGGACUUGUUGUCUGUCGGAGCAAUCCAAAGACGAUAGGGAAGUUGUGUAAACCUUAUCAUUUAGAGGAAGAAGAAGUCGUAACA